UCGGGCAACCGAGUUGUAAUUUGGAGACGGGACACUAGAGAGGAGGAAGGCGAUUAAGUGCCUUGGAACAGGCUGCCGUAGAGGGUGAGAGCCCCGUGAAUCGCUGGAGACCGAUCAAUUAGUGCCCGCCGAAGAGUCGAGUUGUUUGGGAAUGCAGCUCUAAGCGGGUGGUAUAUUCCAUCUAAGGCUAAAUAUUAGCGAGAGACCGAUAGCAAACAAGUACAGUGAUGGAAAGAUGAAAAGAACUUUGGAAAGAGAGUGAAAUAGUACGUGAAAUUGUUGAAAGGGAAGGGUAUUUGAUCCGACAUGGUGUUUAGCAGCGGCCCGUUCCUCGUGGAUGGGUGCACCUGGUUUACACUGGGCCAGCAUCGGUUCUGGGAGCCAUAUACGGGGUUCGUGAAUGUGGCCCUUCGAUUCUGUCGGAGGGUGUUAUAG
rnacentral:rRNA from 1 species